UACGUAGGGCGCAAGCGUUGUCCGGAAUUAUUGGGCGUAAAGAGCUCGUAGGCGGUUUGUCGCGUCUGCUGUGAAAACGCAAGGCUUAACCUUGCGCCUGCAGUGGGUACGGGCAGACUAGAGUGCAGUAGGGGAGACUGGAAUUCCUGGUGUAGCGGUGAAAUGCGCAGAUAUCAGGAGGAACACCAAUGGCGAAGGCAGGUCUCUGGGCAGUUACUGACGCUGAGGAGCGAAAGCAUGGGUAGCGAACA
rnacentral:rRNA from 1 species